rnacentral:rRNA from 1 species
CCUACGGGAGGCAGCAGUGGGGAAUAUUGGACAAUGGGCGAAAGCCUGAUCCAGCAAUUCCGCGUGUGUGAAGAAGGCCUUCGGGUUGUAAAGCACUUUAGGUUGGGAAGAAAAAGCUUCGGUGAAUAUCCGGAGUGUUGACGGUACCAACAGAAUAAGCACCGGCUAACUCUGUGCCAGCAGCCGCGGUAAUACAGAGGGUGCAAGCGUUAAUCGGAUUUACUGGGCGUAAAGCGUGCGCAGGUGGUUUCGUAAGUCGGAUGUGAAAGCCCCGGGCUCAACCUGGGAACUGCGUUCGAUACUGCGAGACUAGAGUUUGGUAGAGGGUGGCGGAAUUCCCGGUGUAGCGGUGAAAUGCGUAGAUAUCGGGAGGAACAUCAAUGGCGAAGGCAGCCACCUGGGCCUGAACUGACACUGAGGCACGAAAGCGUGGGUAGCAAACAGGAUUAGAUGCCCUGGUAGUCCACGCCGUAAACGAUGAGAACUUGACGUUGGUUCGUUUUACGAUCGGUGUCGUAGCUAACGCGAUAAGUUCUCCGCCUGGGGAUACGGCCGCAAAGGUUGAAACUCAAAUGAAUUGACGGCUGAAGAGNGCGACGACGACGACGAGGGAGAGG